rnacentral:misc_RNA from 1 species
GUAGGUGAACCUGCGGAAGGAUCAUUACAGAGAACUUGCCCUUCGGGGUAGAUCUCCCACCCUUUGUUUAUAUUACCUUUGUUGCUUUGGCAGGCCCGUCUCUCGGGACCGCUGGCUUUGGCUGGCCCGUGCCUGUCAGAGGAUUUAAAACUCUUGUUUAAAUGUCGUCUGAGUACUAUAUAAUAAGUUAAAACUUUCAACAACGGAUCUCUUGGUUCUG